GUAGUUCACAGAGAGAAAACACCUGAGUGGUUUGACUGAUGCCUCUAGAUGAUGGGCUUCAUUAUUUUAGAGGAGGCAUAAGAGAAGAGAGAUGUCCUGUGUAUGCUAAGAAACUUAGAAUUGUCUGUUGGAGAUUAAUCCAGGGGAAAAGGCAAGAAAAACAAUUUUAAUCUAUAUAGGAGGCAACAGAGAAGUUUCUGGGAUUCCAUUUUUCACAUCUUACAUCAUAACGAAUAAAUUAUCCAAGAUCAUGUCAGCUGCCCUUCUAAUCACCAUGCUAAAUUUGUUUUAUCAAGUUGCUUCUGAGAAGCCCAGAGAAAAUGGUGGCAGAGGCAAACUACAGCAGAGAUCUCAAACACCAGAUGUGGGCAUGGCCACCACCACUAGGGGGUCAGGGAACAGGUACCACCUGUGCCCCCAGUCACCCCAGAGGUUGGCACAGAGAAGGAGACUGCAACUGAGCACCACCUGUUGUUGCUCUCACUCCCCUGAGAAUGCGCACACCCUGCUGCUACCACUGUCAAGCACUCUGGGCACUUCCCACACAUGCCUGAAGAUAACUGUCACUUCCCAGGGCCCUGCAACUAGAAGAGGCCUGUGCCACCUUCACACAGGUCCUUGCAACUGCCAAGGGCCCAGCAACCAGGCAUUGGCUACUAGCCCUGCCCAUUGCCUGUAUCUCUUUGGAAGCUCAUGCAGCACACAAUAAAUAAAUAGUAAGACCUUCCAAAAUACCCAGGGGUACUGGCACAUAUAAAUAGCUCUCCAAGACUAUAGUAGUUGUUUUAACUAAACACACAGAAUAAGAAAAAUAUAAGCAAAAUGAAGAAGCUCAGGAACCAUUCCCAGUUAAAAGAACAGGAGAAUUAAUCUGAAGGAGCCAAAAAUGAAACAGACCUCUACAAUCUAACAGCUACUGAGUUCAAGAAGGAGACAGUGAAAGUACUGAAGGAAUUAAGGGUGAAUAUAAAGGAAUUAAGAGUGGAUAUGAACAGUGAUGCAGACUACUUUAGAAAGGAACUGGAAAACAUAAGGAGGAGCCAAUAACAAUUAGAAAAUGCAUUCACAGAAAUGUAAGCUGAGUUAAAGGCACUGAAAAGCAGAAUGAAUAAUGCUGAGGAAUGAAUUGGUGACUUGGAAGAGAGAAUAAUGGAAAUCACCCCUUCAGGAUAGCAGACAGAAAACCAAAUGAAAAAAACAUGAAAGCAAUAUAAGGAAUCUAUGGGAUAAUAUAAAGCAGGCCAACCUGCACAUAAUAGGGAUUUCAGAAGGAGAAAAAGAAAAGGGGAUUGAAAAUAUAUUUGAAGAAAUUAUGGCUGAAAACUUUCCACAAAUAAAGGAAACAUAUACCAAGAUACUGGGAAAACAAAGGGCCCCAAACAUGUUGAACCCAAACAGGCCCACACCAAGACUUAUUAUAAUAAAAAUGACAAAAGUUAAACACAAAGAGAGGAUUCUAAAGGCAGCAAGAGAAAAACAAAGAAUUAAUUAUAAGGGAAUCCCCAUAAGGUUAUCAGCUGAUUUUUCUACAGAAACACUACAGGCCAGAAAAGAGUGGCAAGAUAUAUUCAAAAUUCUAAAAGGAAAAAAAUUGCAGCCUAGAACACACUUCCCAGCAAGAAUUUCAUUUAAACAAGAAGGAGAAAUAAAGAAUUUUCCAACAAACAAAAACUAAAAGAUUGCACCAAUUCUAAACCCAUUCUAAAAGAAACACUGAAAGGGCUCCUCUAAAUACAAAUGAAGUAAGAAGAAAUAGGAUGGAGGAAAUCACAAUUGGAAAGCAAUCACCUAAAUAAGCCAGUACACAGAUCUAAAAGAAAAAAAAAACUAUUGUAAAAGUGAUGAUAAAUGCAAGGAACAGCAAAAUGAUAAACAUGAAGAUGUUUAAAAAAGGACUUCAACAUCAUAAAAUGUGGGGAAAGAAAGUAAGAAAAUCUAGAUUCUUUUUUUUAAGAAUGUGGUUGAGUCUAUAUGGCUAUCAGGCUAAAGCAAACAUAUAUAGGAAGGGGUUGACAUACUUCAAAAACAGGGCAACCACAAAUCAAACCAAACAUUACAUUCACAAAAACUAAAAAGAAGCGAACACAAGCAUAAAUGAAAAGGAAACCAUCAAACCAAAAAAAGGAAAGGAACAAAGGAGAAACACAGAACCAAGUGGAAAACAAAGUUUGAAAUGGCAAUAAAUACAUAUUUAUCAACAAUUACCUUAAAUGUCAAUGGACUGAAUGAUGCAGCCAAAAGAUACAGAGUGGUAGAUUGGAUAAAAAAGGAAUAAGAAAAAACAAGAGCCACAAUACAAGAAACUCACCUUACAGUAAAGGAUACAUACAAAUUGAAAGUGAGGAGAUAGAAAAAGAUAUUUCAUGCAAAUGAAAAAGAUAGGAAAGCAGGAGUUGAAAUACUCACAUCAGACAAAAUAGACUUUAAAAUGAAGGUCAUAAGGAAAGACAAAGAAAAACACUAAUGAUAAAUGGGUCCAGUCAAGAAGAUAUUACAAUUGUCAAUAUAUAUGCCCCUAAUAUAGGAGAACCCAGAUACAUACCACAAAUACUAACAGGCAUAAAAGACAAAAUUUAUGAGACUACAAUAAUAGGAGAGGACUUUAACACCCCACUCACAUCAAUGGACAUGUCCUCUAGACAGAAAAUCAAUAAGGCAACAGAAACCCUAAAUGACUCUAAAUGAUGCCAUUUCAAUUAGACUUAAUUGAAAUUUUUAGGACAUUACAUCCAAAAAAUCAGAAUAUACUUUCUUUUCAAGUGCACAUGGAACAUCCUCAAGGACUGACCAUAUACUGAGGCACAGAAUGAACCUAAACAAAUUUAAGAGUAUAGAAAUUAUUUCAAGUGUCUUCUCUGACCACAAUGGCAUGGAACUAGAAAUCAACCACAGGAAAAGAAAUGAGAAAAAACUGAGGACAUGCAGAUUAGAAAACAUGCUACUAAAAAACCAAUGGGUCAGUGAGGAAAUCAAAAGGGAAAUUAAAAAUACCUCCAGACAAAUGAUACUUAAACACAGCCAUUCGAAAUCUAUGGAAUGCUGCAAAAGCAGCUCUUAGAGGCAAUGUCAUAGCUAUAGAGGCCAUCCUCAGAAAAGAAGAAAAUAUCUCAAAUCAACAACUUAACCCAUCACCUAAAGUAAUUAGAAUAAGAAAACAAACAAAACCUAAAGAAAGCAGAAGGAAGGAAAUUGUAAAGAUCAGAGGGUAAAUCAAUAAAAAAGAGGUUCAAAAAACAAAUAGAAAAAAAUAAAUAAAACCAAGAGCUGAUUCUAUGAAAGGGUAAAAAAUAUUGACAAACCUCUGGCUAGACUCCCCAAGAAGAGGAGAGAAAGAACUCAAAUAAACAAAUAUGGCAUGAAAAAGGAGAAUUCGCAACAGAUACUGCAGAAAUAUAAAAAAACAUAAAAAAAUACUAUGAACAAUUAUAUGCCAAUACAUUUGACAACCUAAAAGAAAUAGACAACUUUUUAGAGACGUGCAGUCCACCAAACCUGAUGCAUGUAAAUCAAUGAUACUAGAACUCACCCUCACACCAUGUACAAAAUUAAACUCAAAAUGGCUUAAAGACUUAAAUGUAAGACAAGACACCAUCAAACUCCUAGAAGACAACAUAAGCAAAACAUUCUCUUUCAUAAAUCAUACAAAUGUUUUCUUAGGUCAGACUCCCAAGGCAACAGAAAAAUAAAUAAAUAAAUAAAUAAAUAAAUAGGACCUAAUCAAACUUACAAGCUUUUGCACAGCACAGGAAAUC
rnacentral:lncRNA from 9 species